AGCGAACGUUAGCGGCGGGCUUAACACAUGCAAGUCGAGCGAGAAAAGGGCUUCGGCUCUGAGUAAAGCGGCGGACGGGUGAGUAACACGUAGGUAAUCUUCCUUCGAGCGGGGGACAACGUUCCGAAAGGGACGCUAAUACCGCAUACGUUCCCAGAGACUUCGGUCUUUGGGAGGAAAGCUAGGUAGCAAUAUCCGGCACUCGAUGAGGAGCCUGCGUCGCAUCAGCUAGUUGGUGGGGUAACGGCCUACCAAGGCGAAGACGCGUAGCUGGUCUGAGAGGAUGAUCAGCCACACUGGGACUGAGACACGGCCCAGACUCCUACGGGAGGCAGCAGUGGGGAAUAUUGGACAAUGGGCGCAAGCCUGAUCCAGCCACGCCGCGUGAGUGAUGAAGGCC
rnacentral:rRNA from 1 species